UUAGUUCUUUUUCGUUUGUCAAAUAGAAGGUAUUUCUGUUACCUCCGCCUCCCCUUUUGUGCACUGGAUCUUUACAGACGUGGCAACUGACUGAACCACUUCCCAGUUAUACAGUAUUCAUGCUGUAAGUCUUUUGUGACAAACACAACACCAAGGGAUUCAGCAAUUCAAAUUAAAAGUAGUGUAAAAAGAGAGGCAGAAUAUGUAUCACCAAGAUUUCUUCAGAUUUUUCUAAAUGGUAUAGCAGCUGGCUAUAGAGCCACUCAGCUCAGCCCAGCCCUAUUGGAGCACACUGUAAUCUUCAGAGGCAGCGGCCUUUCCCUGCUCACCCUCUCCAUGUAUUCAUCAUCAUCAUUUUAGUUUAUUACAGGAAAACCAGACAACUGGCAACCCUAUUACCAUGCCAUGAGCACAACUGAUUGCUUGGGCUUUGAUGCAAUCAGAAGCAUAUUAAAUCUCACACUCUCUGCUCUCCUGAGUGAAAAAACCCUGCAGCUCAGCCUCACAUCCCUCACAGAUAUACAGCGAAGAGUAUUUAUAGCUCUAAAAAAAAUCUGAAUCAAGCUUUCAGACUCAUUUCAAAUUCACAAAAACAAGGACAUUGAGAGAGAGAACUCAACCCAUCCUCCUGUCAUUACAUAUUUCAGGGGUCACCACACUUUUGUAGAUUCAGAUGCUGUGACUUCUGUUUUUAGUUAUACUUCUGUACUGCCAAAAUGAAAUGAGUCCAACAGUUGUGUCAGUUCUAUCUGCCCUCAGCUCAAUUUUUUUAAAACAACCCUUGAAUAUUUUAAGGUUUUUUUUUGGUGUGUGUAAUCCUUAGAGAAAGCUGACGUGUCAUUCAAGCCUCCAUAUUUAAACCUGGUGAUUUGUUUUCUGACUGAAUAAACUGGAACUAGCUCUG